rnacentral:rRNA from 1 species
GUUUGGUGCGGUCCAGAUCGCACUUUGAAUAGCCCUAAGCUCAAGGAGAGCAGAAAUCUCGUGUGGAAUAGAAGGGUAAAAUCUCCUUUGAUUAUAAUUUUCAAUACAAAUACAAAUAAUGAAAGUGUGGCCUAACUAUCCUUUAUACCUUUGGAAAUUGAAGCUAGAG